GAUCUACAGCACAAGGCGCCCACCUCGCACCACUCCACCAUGAUCAUCAGCUGCUGCCGGCUCCAGCACUGACAGGCUCCGUCCGGUCUGCCCCUCGAUGCCGUGCACUUAUCCACAGUCACAGUAGCAUCUCAAGACCACCGGUGGCCCCGGUGCCAGGGACCAGUGAUGGAUAAAGGGUGAAAUGCUAGAGGGGGCAGAUAUUAAAAGGGAAAGACGGGGUAAUGGGCUGUGAUGUGGAUUCCUCAGGAAACCUGAGGCAGGAGUAAUGUCCACCGCCAGGACUGGGGUGGGCACAGGAGCGAAUGCAGACUCUAUUGAGCCCGCAAGGGCAUCCGAGGCAGGGGGCCUCACCAGGGUGCUGGCAGAGGUGCCACCAUUGCCACCACCAAAUGCUCACCACUCACUCCGUGUUCUCCAAAGACCCAGGGCGGCCGUGACCCAGAGAAACAGGAGCAACAUCAGAGAGCGAGACCAGAGCGGCUGGGAGCGACUCCCUCGCCCUCUUCUGGCUCCUUCUCUCCUCUUCCCCAGUCUGCGCCCCACUGCAGCCAAGGUGCCUGACAUGUCCUCUCCCUACCGGGGGACUCUCCAGAGCUCUGCCACUGGGAAGACAUUGAGAGAAUCAACAUCCUGGGUGCACGGCAGACGCUGAAGGUGAAACUAGAAUAAAAGCGACAGGACACGAUUUCUUCCUUUACACCCUCCAAGUGCGACCGAGGCCAGAGGGUAAGGAAGCCCUGCUCCUGGUCAGAUCUGAGACACGGCCACCCCUGAGAGGCGCCAGGUCAGCGCGAGGCCCCACGCCAGACACCUGAAGGACACAUCGCCCGUGGAAUGGCGGCCAAGCCUGAACGUCGCUGUCAGCUGUCACUGAAAUCAGCUGUCAUCCCAGCCACAUGUGGUUGGCCUGUGACCUGGUAAGGAGUAGAC
rnacentral:lncRNA from 1 species